rnacentral:lncRNA from 1 species
CUUUUGAAUCUGAGGGUCUCUUCUUGAAUGCGGAGUUGAUGAGCAGCGUGUUGGCCUUAGGGACAUCUGUGUCCCAGCACUGAUCCUUCCAGGAUGUGGCUUCUCCUGUCCAGGGCCUCAGGCCUCCUCCACUUCAGAGAGGAGCAUACUCCAGACUUUAUGCAUGCAGUCUGGUGGGAGGCAUCACAAAGCUGGCGUGGCAAAGCCCUAAGAUGCCAGGUCACAGGACACACGGAGCUGCCAAGGCCCUCUACCCCAUAGCUCUGGUGAGAGACCCCAGGCCCCUUAGAACCUCUUUGGGCCCCCUGCCGUGAGGCAAGAGCCCCUCUCCAGACACCCCUCGCCCGGGAGCAGCUGGACCCAGCCUGCCUUCUCCAGCCCCGGGGCGGCUGCUUAGCCCCAGGUGCCGUUAACAAUGGCCGGCCUGUGUCAGGGUCCCCAUUCACCAUGUGCACAGGAAGCCCAGCUCGGGCCAUGCAUCUGAUUUUGCACCAGCUCCUGCCCAGCCCACCUGAGAAUGCAGAUGUUUGGAUCCAGUGGGGAAUGUGUUCCUGCUCCAUGCUCCCAAUUUCAGAACAAACUUUGAGCUGAGCUACAGCUUUCUCAUUGAUCCCCUUCUAGUCUUCUGAACAAAUUAGUCUGUGAUUUUUUAUUUUUUUCCAUUUAUUGCUGACCCUUUUGGAUUUAUGAGGCCGUGUGAGAGGAAUUAUGUAUCUCACACACACGCAUCUGGCAUGACGAUAAAUCUCCACCACUGAAGCCCCGCAGAUUUGCAGCGAAUCUGAUGGCUCCCAGGCUCGCUGCCACGUGGUUGGUGCUGACGUGCGGCGCAAUGCGGUGGCGGCUGCAGUCACAGCUGGAACCAGCGUGACUUUCCCUGGGAGCCCAGCAGGUGCCUCGCGUCGCUGGCAGGUGGUAGGGUGCCCUUGAAGGGGGCUGGUCGUGAGGAACGAAGGAAAACCCGGGCCAGGGCUUCCAAGGACAGCGGCCCUGGAGGGGGCCGGAGCCGUCAGGUUACUCUGAGCACCGGAGAAAAAGCCGCUUCAGCAGAGGUGUAAACGCAUUUAAUCUCCCAACAGGACAUAUACAGAGCGGAGGGCUUUGGCAUUCAGAUAUAUUGACCGGGCAAGAUGGUAAUCCAAGGUUCCUCCCCUUCAAGGUCUCCUGCUGUAUUUGCCUGGGCUCUGAUCUGUCGUCACCGCUUGGGCCAAUAAAUCUUGAUACCAGCCUCCAGA